UAACCAUUGAUCGUUGCAACGAGAAACUAGGCAUUAACUUGCUCAAGAGCAAUCGAUGGGUGAAACUCAUUAACAUUAGAUGUGAACUUCAUACAGCAUUGUGGCAUGCUGUUCUAAUGCCCUUUACUAAGCUUUGCUACUUAUCCGAUGAAGAUGACAUCGUUUUACAGCGGAUUAGGUCUUUCUUCUUCCAGUUUUAAUAUAUAUAUAUAUAUAUAUAUAUAUAUAUUAGGUGCGGAACUCCUUAUUUGAAAAAAAGAAAAUAAAUAAAUAAUGCUAGUCGUGAAACUCAAUUGCAUGAUAAACUUGUUCAAGAUCCCCGAUGAAGAUGACAUCAUUUUACAGCGGAUUAGGUCUUUCUUCUUCCAGUUUUAAUAAAUAUAUAUGGUAGAAUGUUAGGUGUGGAACUCCUUAUUUGAAAAAAAGAAAAUAAAUAAAUAAUGUUAGGCGUGAAACUCAAUUGCAUGAUACAAACAUGCUCAACAUCGUUAUUUGACAAGCAUGUCAUAGCCCAUGAAUUCAUAACAUGGAGGCUCAUGUCCACAACAUUUAUCAUUUCCAUAUCUACUCUUGGCAGCAAGAUGUUUCGUAACAAUCUUUUCCUGCCAGUAUAAUACCAUGUACCUCUGAAUUUACCUCAAUUAUUUGCAAUUACAUUAUAGGGAU
rnacentral:lncRNA from 1 species